rnacentral:rRNA from 1 species
UACGAAGGGGGCUAGCGUUGCUCGGAAUCACUGGGCGUAAAGCGCACGUAGGCGGCUUUCUAAGUCAGGGGUGAAAUCCUGGAGCUCAACUCCAGAACUGCCUUUGAUACUGGAGUGCUGAGUCCGGGAGAGGUGAGUGGAACUCCGAGUGUAGAGGUGAAAUUCGUAGAUAUUCGGAAGAACACCAGUGGCGAAGGGCGGCUCACUGGCCCGGUACUGACGCUGAUGUGCGAAAGCGUGGGGAGCAAACAGG